CCUACGGGUGGCUGCAGUGGGGGAUAUUGCACAAUGGGGGAAACCCUGAUGCAGCGACGCCGCGUGCGGGAAGAAGUAUUUCGGUAUGUAAAGCUCUAUCAGCAGGGAAGAAAAUGACAGUACCUGACCAAGAAGCCCCGGCUAACUAGGUGCAAGUCGCCGCGGUAAUACGUCGGGGGCAAGCGUUAUCCGGAUUUAUGGGGUGUAAAGGGAGCGUAGACGGGUAUGUAAGUCUGGAGUGAAAGCCCGGGGCCCAACCCCGGGACUGCAUUGGAAACUGUGUAACUGGAGUACAGGAGGGGCAGGCGGAAUGCGUGGUGUAGCGGUGAAAUGCGUAGAUAUCAGGAGGAACACCGGCGGCGAAGGCGGCCUGCUGGACUGAAACUGACGUUGAGGCUCGAAAGCGUGGGGAGCAAACAGGAUUAGAUACCCCAGUAGUC
rnacentral:rRNA from 1 species